rnacentral:rRNA from 1 species
CCUACGGGUGGCAGCAGUGAGGAAUAUUGGUCAAUGGGCGCGAGCCUGAACCAGCCAAGUAGCGUGAAGGAUGACUGCCCUACGGGUUGUAAACUUCUUUUAUAAAGGAAUAAAGUGAGGCACGUGUGCCUUUUUGCAUGUACUUUAUGAAUAAGGAUCGGCUAACUCCGUGCCAGCAGCCGCGGUAAUACGGAGGAUCCGAGCGUUAUCCGGAUUUAUUGGGUUUAAAGGGAGCGUAGAUGGGUUGUUAAGUCAGUUGUGAAAGUUUGCGGCUCAACCGUAAAAUUGCAAUUGAUACUGGCAGCCUUGAGUACAGUUGAGGUAGGCGGAAUUCGUGGUGUAGCGGUGAAAUGCUUAGAUAUCACGAAGAACUCCGAUUGCGAAGGCAGCCUACUAAACUGCGACUGACAUUGAUGCUCGAAAGUGUGGGUAUCAAACAGGAUUAGAUACCCUUGUAGUC